CUUGUGUCCUGCUGGCUGCCCAUGGCCGGGUGACAGAUAGUCCAGCCCAACGAUAACCUCCUUCAGCUGAUGACUGUUUGGAUAGGGGAGAAAGUGGUGCCCCAAGGUUGGCAGAUUGUGAUCCAGGGAGCCCAAAUUGACUCAUCUCUAAGCUGCUGGUAUUACGGGGCGAAAUGAUAGAUAAACUCUUUGAAAUGCUAGUAAUGAUAAUGUAAUGUGGAUACACCAGAUGCACCGGAAUCUUUUAAUUGAGAAGAUACGAGGUUUUCCGUAUGUUUUUAAACAUUGCAAGCUUUAGUGUUGGCCAAGUUACUUUGAAAAUAUUAAACAGUAUUAGUACCAAUAACUACUGUCACUAGAACCACAGAGUCACGGUUUGAGCUCCUCCGCAGACAAAAAAAAAAAAAAAAAAGGUAACUAGUCGUGGAGAGAUGUCUGCUUCUUGAUUGCUGUCAAGGAGCCCUUGAGCAAAGCCCGACGCCACCCCUUUCCCCUAGCUCAAAAGGCGCAGCACUGUUUUUGUGCCCAAAAUCUCUCUUUAAAUUCCUGAUUAAGUGUGAUCUAGUUGUCAGUAUGCUAUCGGUCCAGCAAUCCAUGUAUUUACUACACUGCUUAUCCUCACUAGGGUGUUGGGAAUGUGCAAGAAAGUCCGAGUAUUACGUGGAGCAAACCCAUGUAAGCAGGGGAACAAAAUCCAAACUCCACACAGUAAGGCUGAAGAGUGGAUUCCACCCCCUAUCCUGAGACUGUGUCAGCCACAAGAAGCCAUCCCCUCCUGAUUGAUGUUAGAAUAAACGCGGGGCCGGCACCAUCGCAGCGAGUGGGUCUCCGCUAAGCCUGUGAUUGACUUAAUGAGAGUCUUUGGGGGUGAAACCAGAUGGGGAACGACGGUGGUACGGAUGCAGUGGGAACUAACUUUCGAGCUACUUCACUUUAAAUGUAUCCACAUUUUGCUGAGGUUCAGACUCCCUCGGCGUGUCUCGCAAGAACCUCGGUCCUGUAAAUGGCAUGAUGGAGGAUGGGGAACGCAACAUCAUAUGUCGUCGAUACAGCUCAUUUCACUUCAUUUGAGGAGAUGUCUAAGCCCUUCUUAAUUAAAGACAAGCUUAUGGUUUUGAAUUAGCUCAUUUAAUUGAGGGAGGCAGUCCUUGUCUGUAAGACAGUAGAGAAUACAUCUCAAGUUUCCUUCUGGAGGCUGUUGGCUGACACAUAAAUACAGGGAGAGUUCACAACUAUCACAGCAGCCCCAUCCAUACCUCUGGGAUGGCUUUUCCCUCUCUCCUGGUCUUCUCACUCUGCCAAAGACUCCCUCCUUUAGCUCUCACCAGCAGAGAAGCUA